rnacentral:rRNA from 1 species
AUGACUCGGAGCUCAACCUUGUCAAGGGCCGCGAGCAGCGGUGACUUUCUUUUCCAUGAGAAGAUGACCAAGGGCGCCAUCGGUCACUUUGUCAUCGCCAUCGAAGAGUCCAAGCUCGUGUCCGCAUCGGUUGCAUUGGUGCCGGUAGUUGAUUCUUUAGAAGUAUUUGGAGCAACCAAAAUUGAAGUGAGAACACGAUACUUCACUGGUGUGUCCAUACAUAUGUCUAUAUAUACGGUGGAACUCCAAGUGAGUAUGAAUCAAAUGAAUGAUGCCCCAAGAGCUCAUGUGCAUUUCAAAAUGUUCUAUUCCUCCCACAUUCAGCCAACUGGAGUAUCCUGCUCUCCCUUCUAG